CCGCUCCUCCCCAGCCGGGGCUGCCCGGGCUCGUCUCCCUCGCCCCACCGCCGCAGGGGGGGAAGCGGCGGGGAGGCGGCAGGGGCGCUGCCCGCCACCCACGGCCGCCCGACGGGCUCCGCUCCGCGCCGCGGGAUGACGGUCGCACCCCCCUCCUCCAACGGUCACUGGCCCAACGAUCACCGGCCCCUCAGGAGCACCCCGCCCCUCCCCCGAGGCGACGGCCGCGGCUGCGAGGCGCCGUCCCGUGUCGGGGAGGCCGAGGAGGGUCUCGGCGCGGCCGCCCCCUCUCCGUCUCCCCCCGGCCGGCAGUGGGGAUGCGCCGCGACUCACCUGGGUGGGUAGGAGGAGCGCCAGGAGCAGGAGCCCCAGGCCGAGCCGCGCCGCCAGCGCCGUCCCCAUCGCCCGUCCGCUGCCGCCCCCGCUGCUGCCGCUGCUGCUGCUGCUGCUGCUGCCGCUGUGGCUGCGGGCGGGCGGGAUACACCGCCCAGCCGCGCCCGGGCUUUUUAUGGCAGCGCGGGCUGCCGUGCCGCCCCGCCACCGCCUUCCCUUCCCCUCCCCUCCUCCUCCUCCUCCUCCGCCCCCCGGCGCGGCCCCCUCCUCCGCUGCCCGCCGCCCCCACUCCGUGCCCGCCCCCCGCUCCGCGGGCCUCUGCCCCGCUGCUCUCGGCGGCGGCUGGGGGCGAUGGUCCCCGCCGAGGCCGGCGGGCCGACGGACGUUGCGCUCACCCUUCCCCGGUACUGCACUUCGGGCGGGCGGUUCCGUCUCUGCCAAGCGCCCGUUCCGCGCGCGGGCAAGUGGGCACCGGCGCAGCGCCGGGGAGGUGGAGUUGCAGCUUACUCUGGGGAAACGUUUAUGAAAACACCAGGCUUUUAUUUAAAAAAAAAAAGAAUCACCGGGGAGGAAAGGAAGGCUAAAGAGAGCCAGCAAAGCCUGAGAAGAAAAUAUCCACGUUCAGCACUGCAGACUUUACUCACCGCCUUCAGGAGCAGGACUGCAGGCUGCUGUUCAGUAGUUCCAGUGGACAUUGUUCAAGCUGGGUCUUGAGGCACAGGACACACUGCAGAACCAGAGACUGGGACUUAUAUUAGGCAAAAAUAUAUCAUUCUAAACCCAGCCCCACCUUUAUCAUUUCCAAAUCCCUGACAAAGCUCUAACUGUUUUGUAUUUCAGGGAAUAAAGGCUUUUUUUGCAAGCUGUA